rnacentral:rRNA from 1 species
AUGUCUGCUACGAGCUCCCUCCUCUCUCUCUCUCUCUCUCUCUUCCAUUAUUCCCGUUGCACCGGCCACCUCUCGUCUGCUCAUGGCGCCGCCACACCCAACCUCCGCUCCAACGCUGCGCCUGUGACCGAGGCGACGGCUGGAGCGCUUGUCCUCUUCCACUACGGCGGCCAAAGUGCCAAACCACCCGGAUCCGGCGUCAUCUUCCACUCCGGCGGCCAGAUCAGUUCGAGUUUGGGCAACACGAGAUCUUCCGAGGAUGCGGUCCUCGUCCACGGAUCUGGCCGUGAGAAAUCAUUUUCUUCAUUGUUUCCGUCGAUGCUGUUAUUGAUAGCUAGCUUGGUUAUGUACAAGUUGUGCUGCUGCAGCUCAUGCCCCUGGCAACCAAGGAUCUUGCUGCGUGAAGAGCUUUUCCCUGUUCGUGUUGUUGCAGCACUUGUGUACAAGUGCUACUUCAUGUAG